GAUGAACGCUGGCGGCGUGCCUAAUACAUGCAAGUCGAGCGAGCAGACGAGGAGCUUGCUCCUCUGACGUUAGCGGCGGACGGGUGAGUAACACGUGGAUAACCUACCUAUAAGACUGGGAUAACUUCGGGAAACCGGAGCUAAUACCGGAUAAUAUAUUGAACCGCAUGGUUCAAUAGUGAAAGACGGUUUUGCUGUCACUUAUAGAUGGAUCCGCGCCGCAUUAGCUAGUUGGUAAGGUAACGGCUUACCAAGGCGACGAUGCGUAGCCGACCUGAGAGGGUGAUCGGCCACACUGGAACUGAGACACGGUCCAGACUCCUACGGGAGGCAGCAGUAGGGAAUCUUCCGCAAUGGGCGAAAGCCUGACGGAGCAACGCCGCGUGAGUGAUGAAGGUCUUCGGAUCGUAAAACUCUGUUAUUAGGGAAGGACAAAUGUGUAAGUAACUAUGCACGUCUUGACGGUACCUAAUCAGAAAGCCACGGCUAACUACGUG
rnacentral:rRNA from 1 species